rnacentral:tRNA from 1 species
GGGGAAAUGGCUCAGUUGGUUAGAGCAUCGGCCUGUCACGCCGGAGGUCGCGGGUUCGAGCCCCGUUUUCCCCG